rnacentral:rRNA from 1 species
AUACGGAGGAUCCGAGCGUUAUCCGGAUUUAUUGGGUUUAAAGGGUGCGCAGGCGGGAGAUUAAGUCGGCGGUGAAAUUUUGCAGCUCAACUGUAAAAGUGCCUUCGAAACUGGUUUCCUUGAGUGUAGAUGAAGUAGGGGGAAUUUGUGGUGUAGCGGUGAAAUGCAUAGAUAUCACGAGGAACUCCGAUUGCGCAGGCAGCUUACUAAACUACUACUGACGCUCAGGCACGAAGGCGUGGGGAUCAAACAGGAUUAGAUACCCUGGUAGUCCACGCAGUAAACGAUGAUUACUAGCUGUUUGCGAUACAAUGUAAGCGGCUGAGCGAAAGCGUUAAGUAAUCCACCUGGGGAGUACGUUCGCAAGAAUGAAACUCAAAUGAAUUGACGGGG